UGGGAGAACUAAAAAAAGAAAGGUGCUGGGC
rnacentral:piRNA from 1 species